UGGCCUCGUCCCUCUCACCCCCUCAUCCAAACCCUAGCGAAUUCUCAAAAAAAAAAAAAAAAAAAUCCAAACCCUAGCGUCCUUCGCGCUGCACCCGUGCCUCCUUCCCUCGGCAUGGUGCCACCAACCCACCAUCUCUUCCCUCCCACAGCUCAUCGCCGACGGCCUCUCCUCUCCCAUCCGCUUCCCUCCCACAGCACGCGGAAUGCCUCCUCCCUGAUCCAACGCACCGCCGCCUCCUCCCCGAUCCAGAUCCAAUGCGUCACCGCCUCCUCCCUGAUCCAGAUCGACACGUCGGCUCUCUUACCUUGCUGGCAGGUUCCUCCGCCGUCGCUGCCCCCUCCUCCCCCUGCCUCGGCCAUCCUCCCUUCCGCCACCCCCGCCUGCUCCGCCUACUGCACCGCCGCCUCCGACGCCAUGUUGGACACGGACAGCAGUAGCAACCCGCUGCUCGCCGACUUCGACUUCCCACCCUUCAGCCGCGUCGAGCCCACACACGUACGCCCCGGGAUCCGCGUGCUCCAUGCCUGCCUCUUGAUUCUUGGGCUUGGACAUGGAGAGGUAGACUAGCUUCCUCCUGGGCGCGCUUGAGAAGCUCAAGAGCUUCCGGGGGAUGGAUAACUUCAGGUGAAGCAAGGACAACCCUGGCAAGCACGAUGACACGCCGCUCCACCUCGCGGCGAGGGCCGGCAACGUCUCCAACGUCCAGAGGAUCCUUGCUGAAUCCGGCCUGGAGAUGGCCGAGCUGGAGUCUGAAUCUCUGUCGACAUCAUAUCUGAAGCAUGAGCCAAGCACAGCAUGUCUACAGUUUCAGAACAAAAAAAAUCAUGUUAUAAGUAUUAAGCAACUCCAUUGCACUCUAAUUUGUUCAUCGCACUCCUGGACUAGAGGGUAGACGCUGAUGGUUUCUUGCUGUUUCAAUCAAGUGCUUGAUAGAUGGCUAUCACAUGUGCUACGGCGCAUCUAUCACCGGCUGACUCGAUCCAUCUUCUUAAAUUUAAACAACCCGAGAAAGUGAAGUUCUACCUGAGGCUAGGGUUACCUCGGGUAUAGUGAAUUUAAACAGGUAGGUUAUUUCUUCUUAGCAGAUGUUGGCAGAUUCUACUUGUUGUGCACAUGCCAAGUGUGGUUGCUUGAUUGUAAACAUACCUUUAUAUAUGUUGAUAGUCUAGUUAGAACUUGUUGUGUCUCGGUUUGUGGAUCUUAAAAAAAUAUAUCAUCUAUGCUUUUAUCCUUGAACUGUUGCUAUGGCGAUGACUGCCGAUGCGUACCUUUCUUGUCACUUUUUAGGUUGUGCGUAGUUUGUUUUAGUCUUGUUGCUAAUGACUGACAUAGUACUGUGUUAUCGAUUAUUGUCCAGCCCGCGUCGUAAGCCCGACACCUUUAUCAUCCCCUUCCUCCGCCCCUCGUUCGCCCUUAAGAUCCGAAAGACAAAUUCAACAAAGAUGAAUCCAUCUUCCUCCACUAGUGACGAAGGAAAUAAGGCAGCCCCUAAUUCAGGUAACUACAGGAUAUCCUUACUCGUACAAAAUGCCCAGCUGUUGUUCUUGUAAAUAUAGGUGUGCCUACCAUCGGCACCAUCACCAAACAAAGAAGGGCUCUAGCCACUACUUAUGACAAGAAAAAUAGGUGUUGUUACCUGUUUGCAUCUGAGAUUGCACAAUAUUGGAGGAACAUGCUUAAUUGGCCAGUGCAUUUGGCAGAUAUAGUAGUGUUUGUUCUGCUACUAGCAUCCUGUACUGUUUAGUUGGUAGGGUAUUAUAUAUUUUUCUUCUAGCCAAGAAUUAUUCAUUUUAGAUCUUGUUGCAUGAUGUGUCAUGUAUAUGACCAGUACUACUAUUUUUGCAUGUUUAUAUGUUUGUCCAUUGACUAGCUUAGCUAGCACAGUAGUGUUCUGUUCAAAUUUGAGGCA